rnacentral:rRNA from 1 species
GAUGAACGCUAGCGACAGGCCUAACACAUGCAAGUCGAGGGGAAACGACAUCGAAAGCUUGCUUUUGAUGGGCGUCGACCGGCGCACGGGUGAGUAACGCGUAUCCAACCUGCCCACCACUUGGGGAUAACCUUGCGAAAGUAAGACUAAUACCCGAUGAUAUCCCUAGAAGACAUCUGAAAGGGAUUAAAGAUUUAUCGGUGAUGGAUGGGGAUGCGUCUGAUUAGCUUGUUGGCGGGGUAACGGCCACCUAGCCGACGAUGGGGUAGGGGUUCUGAGAGGAAGGUCCCCCACAUUGGAACUGAGACACGGGUUCCAAAACUUCCUACGGGGAGGCAGCAGUGAGGAAUAUUGGGUCAAUGGGCCGAGAGCCUGAACCAGCCAAGUAGCGUGCAGGAUGACGGCCCUAUGGGUUGUAAACUGCUUUUAUACGGGGAUAAAGUGAGCCACGUGUGACUUAUUGCAGGUACCGUAUGAAUAAGGACGGCUAAUUCCGUG